rnacentral:rRNA from 1 species
CCUACGGGAGGCAGCAGUGGGGAAUAUUGCACAAUGGGGGAACCCCUGAUGCAGCGACGCCGCGUGAGUGAAGAAGUAAUUCGUUACGUAACGCUCUAUCAGCAGGGAAGAAACUGACGGUACCUGCGUAAGAAGCCACGGCUAACUACGUGCCAGCAGCCGCGGUAAUACGUAGGUGGCACGCGUUAUCCGGAUUUACUGGGGGUAAAGGGAGCGUAGACGGUGCGCCAAGUCUGGAGUGAAAUGCCGCCGCUUAACUGCAGAACUGCUUUGGACACUGGCGAACUAGAGUGCGGGAGGGGUAAGCGGAAGUCCUAGUGUAGCGGUGAAAUGCGUAGAUAUUAGGAGG